rnacentral:lncRNA from 1 species
CUAACCAGUGGAAGAAUGUAAAGGAUUUUUAAGAAAUCAACAAACUAAGAGGUACGUGGAGGUUUUACAAGAAAUAUCAGUUCUAGUAGACUCCAGUAGGUUUUAAGAUACCUUAUCGCAUUAUUAUUUGAAAGCUUAUCUUAUUGCUUGCUGAAUAGGAAUUCAAGGGCUAGAAGUACAUAGAACUCAGGAACACUCAGGAGCACCACAGUCUAUCUAAUAAUGGAUUUGCUGAUAGAACUUUUAUAAUUUAUUCUCACUGUUACUUACCAUGAUCUACAAUUAUUAUGGUGAGAUUUUGGAAUUAUAUUUUCAAUAUUUUGUCAGAUAUUCUGCAUAUCGUUGUUAUUUCCCGGAUCAUAGUAAGAAAUUCUGCCUCGGAUAAACAAUAAAAUGAACAGAACUUUGAAGUGCAAUAAACUAUCUUUCAUUAUAUCCACAUUUUGUCUGGUUAGUCAACUACUCAAAAGGUUAUUUCCUGGACUCUGGCCAUAUUUGGAUAAGAGUUAGGACCUUUCUGUUUCUGUUUGAUGAUACAUAUAACACGUAUAAACACAUCUUAACCUCAGCUGACAGGGUUAAAAAGCGUUUAGUCACAAGCAGGUGCAAAGGAGAAGAGAUUCACGUACAAGCCAAUUACCCAAAGAAUCUUUUCACUAACACCAAUAAUCUUGUCUCUUGGCUAAUAUUUUUGCAUGUAGCAAGACCUAAUUGCAUGAUAACCAACUACUACAAAAGCAUUAUGCAAAUAUGUCUCCAUGACUAUGCAGCGUUAACAGAAUUACACCAUUUAUGC